UACAGGGGCCUCGAGCGUUAGGCGGAAUCACUGGGCUUAAAGCGUGUGUAGGCGGACUUCUAAGUGCCUUGUGAAAUCCCACGGCUCACCCGUGGAACUGCUGGGCAUACUGGGAGUCUUGAGCCACCUAGGGGCGAGCGGAACAAAUGGUGGAGCGGUGAAAUGCGUAGAUAUCAUUUGGAACGCCAACGGAGAAAGCAGCUCGCUGGGGGUGUGCUGACGCUGAGACACGAAAGCCAGGGGAGCGAACGGG
rnacentral:rRNA from 1 species